UGACGUAAACCCCGCACCAUGUGACACCGUAAUGAAUAAUGCAGUACAGAAGGCGGGAGGGAGAUGUGAGUAAUACAAACGCACUUAAGGAUUGAGGACGGAGUGAAGGAGGCUCAUUUAUCCUCUGGCUUCGUUCAAGGAGCCAACAUGUGCUGGCUGCCCGUAGACGAGCCGUUACUCCUGGCCGGUGACUCCUCCUGCGUCCGGACUCCGUCGACGUGCUCCGUGGCUCAGCUGCUCGCCUCGCGGCUGAGGAGGGUCGGGGACCAGCUGGAGAAAAGGUGGACGGCGGAGCCGAGUUGUGAGGACACGGACAGUACCGAAGGGUCAGACCGCUGCUUCUCCAGCUUCCUGCGCGCCGCCUUGCAGCUGACCGUGCUCGUGCUGUUCGUCGCGGGGCCGCACCUGUAGGGGCGCGAGGCGGCAAGGCACCGGCAACAGAGACAGUGACUUUGAGAUCUUGCAUGAUGGGGGAACAAAAACAGGCUGAUAUUUGCACUGAAAACAAGGGAUGCAGGAGCGCCGCGUCCUCCAACAGUCCAGCUGACUGAGGAAGAAAAGGAGAAAAGAGGGCUAAAUACGCUUCAGGGUCAGAACUGUGUGUGUGUGUGUGAGACUUAUGAGGCUACACCAGACCUGCUGUGGAUUAUCCAAAAGGAUGGCAACGAGCUGACACACUGAACCCUGAGCAUCACAUGCAGCCAACCAGCUGCACAUCUUGCUUCUGUACGACUGUCUGCUUGUGUCAUCCAGCUACAAAACAGUGAUGUAAUCCUCCCCUGGUACAAAGGAGGGAAAAGCUUACUACAAGCACCGCUGUGAAUUUUCACCUCCCACACUAUAAACAGAUCUUUGGGGACAAAAGGCAGAAGCUGUUAGACUGAUUAGAUCUGAAAAUGCAUAAGCUACCAACUGUUCACAUAACAUUUUCAAAGUGCACUGAAAUAUGUUUGAGGGCUUCACAGGGACUACACCUUUACACACACACAUAUAGAGAGAGAGAGAGAGAGAGAGAGAGAGAGAUAAAUAAGCUAUAAAUGUAAAUAUUGAGGUGAUAAGUUGUUUUUAUAGAUGUUUUUCUACAGUGUUUUUAGAUGAUGUUUACACACUUUCCUGUGCUUCAUUGUCUUUUUAGCAGCAGUGUUAAGUGAAUCCCGUCAAUAAUUAAGAUACUUGCAUAGAAAGCUAUAUCCUGUUUGUGAUAUCUGAAAAUAAGCUUUUUAAAAUGUGACAAGUGUAACGUGUCUGGAUUUACAUCACUGCCUUUUGUAUAAAGUUGGAUUUCUUUUCACUUGAAGUACUUUAAAUAAAUUUUUAGCAGUCAGUCCAAUAAAGUGUCUUGAAAA